rnacentral:misc_RNA from 1 species
AGAAAGAAAUAGUCGCUCCAAUCAAGGGUCGCCCCCUUCUCCACCCCCAACCGGCUACCAUACCCCUCGUAAGUAGCUGGCGAAUUUGCAUACUCCUGCUUCACUUCCAGCGGCUGGUUAAAGAACUCUCGCCAGACCUCUCGCACACUCUUCAGAAGUUGAGGUCUCACACCAUGGUUUACUAUUUGAAAGAAACCCCCCUUGCGGCAAGCGAGGGAGAUGCUCUUCAGGGUCUCCAAACGGAGGGUUUGAUUAUCAGAGAAGGCGUUCCCGAAAUCAAUAACAGGAAUGUCAACUUCCGUUUGAGUAGAACAAGAAGAAGAAACAUUGUUGUCCUUCACCGAUGGCCUAUGAGACGGUGGCUUCACGUAACGCAGUGGGAUUUGGCUUAUGCCACUUUCAGACAAAGACUGAACACGAACGACAGGUUCAGGCCAACUCUGCGAGCAAUUCAUGUUUGUUCGAAAGAGAAAGGUAAUGAUCAGAGAAUGAUAUUGUGAGGUGGUGGUUGUGGUGGGCACGAGCCUAGGAGGUUAAAGCAGAAGCUAUAGGGUACAUAAGAAAGUGAAAAUUA